GAUGAACGCUGGCGGCGUGCCUAAUACAUGCAAGUCGAGCGAACGGACGAGAAGCUUGCUUCUCUGAUGUUAGCGGCGGACGGGUGAGUAACACGUGGAUAACCUACCUAUAAGACUGGGAUAACUUCGGGAAACCGUAGCUAAUACCGGAUACUAUUUUGAACCGCAUGGUUCAAAAGUGAAAGACGGUCUUGCUGUCACUUAUAGAUGGAUCCGCGCUGCAUUAGCUAGUUGGUAAGGUAACGGCUUACCAAGGCAACGAUGCAUAGCCGACCUGAGAGGGUGAUCGGCCACACUGGAGCUGAGACACGGUCCAGGCUCCUGCGGGAGGCAGCAGUAGGGAAUCUUCCGCAAUGGGCGAAAGCCUGACGGAGCAACGCCGCGUGAGUGAUGAAGGUCUUCGGUUCGUAAAGCUCGGUUAUUAGGGAAGAACAUAUGUGUAAGGAACUGUACACAUCUUGACGGUACCUAAUCAGAAAGCCACGGCUAACUACGUG
rnacentral:rRNA from 1 species